rnacentral:rRNA from 1 species
CGUACACUCCUACGGGAGGCAGCAGUGGGGAAUAUUGGACAAUGGGCGCAAGCCUGAUCCAGCCAUGCCGCGUGAGUGAUGAAGGCCCUAGGGUUGUAAAGCUCUUUCACCGGAGAAGAUAAUGACGGUAUCCGGAGAAGAAGCCCCGGCUAACUUCGUGCCAGCAGCCGCGGUAAUACGAAGGGGGCUAGCGUUGUUCGGAAUUACUGGGCGUAAAGCGCACGUAGGCGGAUCGAUCAGUCAGGGGUGAAAUCCCAGGGCUCAACCCUGGAACUGCCUUUGAUACUGUCGAUCUGGAGUAUGGAAGAGGUGAGUGGAAUUCCGAGUGUAGAGGUGAAAUUCGUAGAUAUUCGGAGGAACACCAGUGGCGAAGGCGGCUCACUGGUCCAUUACUGACGCUGAGGUGCGAAAGCGUGGGGAGCAAACAGGAUUAGAAACCCUUGUAGUCCC